ACUCCCGCGUCUGAGUAGUGAGGGACUUGCGCGCGAGCCUCUCAGUGCGUAUGGAACAGCUGCAUUGCCAACUGCCAAUUUUUCCUCAGAAAAGGAAAAGUAGCCUACAAAUCCAACGGCCAUUUCGCGAAUAACAAAGACAAAGUGGCCAGAGUCAUGAACAAGAUGGAGGGAACCAAACCUAAAAAAUGGCUGAGCUGCCAAAGAAGAGGACCAUAAAAAAACAAGACAUUCUGUCCAAGCAGAUCCCCUGACCAGCCAAGUCCAGAGGAGAAAAAGGUGCUGACUAUCGUACCAAAAAAUGAUGCCAUGCUGAUGAAAGUCAUAAAGAGGAAUGAGGACAAAAAAGAAAAUGUAGAUGAUAUGCGCCUUAAAAAUGACAUGGCAAAAUUACGUUCAGAAAAUCAUAUGCUAAAGAAAGAAAAUGAAGAGCUGAGGGCUGUUAAUGUCCAACUCCAAAGAGCUAUGCAUUCUUUUUUCCUCUGAUGCAUGACAGUGUUGAUACAAUUAUAAUUGAUUGAGAAUACCAGCAAAUGUGAUAAGUUCUCAAAAUGGAUAAAUGGACCAAUGAAACCUCACUCAUAUCUUGUGACACACAGUAGCCAUAGGUCCACUGCAGAGACAAUUGGGGAUUUUCAGGGCUAAGGCUUACUCAAAUAAUUUAUUACUUAAUACAAAACUUUUUAUCUACUGAUUUGAAGCAUGACAAUUACCCUAGAUAGCACUGAAAAAUAAUUAAUCUCAUACAUUAUUAGUAAGACCUGGCUAUCCCUGUUCAGCCCUGUAGUCGACCAGUGGCUAAUGGUAAACAUUUUCGAUUAACUCUGAUGUGCAAUAGAAUCUAUAGAAUUGUUGUAGCAUUAAUGAUUUAAUCAUACAAUUCAUGAUGACAGGAAAUAGUUCAUUUAAUUGUAGCAGAAUGAUCAAUUUUUUACCUAUUUUUUUUGGUUGCUGAAAAGUAACUGUACAGCAUAAUGACAAAUACCCUUCAUUUUAAAAAAGUGGACAGUAGUUGACUGUUUUAGAAAACUUAUUUCUGUAGACAUGUAAGUCUCUCUAAGAACUCUUAUACUCUUAUUCUUCUUAAGAACUCUUAAACAAGUUAAAGACACAGUCCCAGCCACUGUACCAACCCCCAUCUGAUCACUGUCAGCCCCAUUCUCCAGCCAGCCCCUGUCUGAUAAUCCAUCCCAGCCCAUGAGCCAGCCCCAGCCUCUGAACUACCCACAGUUGCACUUUCCUCCUAAUAAGGGAAGAAGCUCAAGACAUCAGCCCAAAACCUCGGCAUGAGCAUGGAUACGUUGUAGGCCUGUGGCAGAGGAGGAAAGUCAUGAUCGGCCAUGAUAAAGGAUCUUGCGGUGGCAGUCUUCGGACGCGAGCAGCUGGCUACACAUGGCCUUUCUGGAAAGUCUGGCAAUAAAACAUCGUGCAGGGAAAAUUUGACAGCAUACCAAGAAAGGUGAUCCGAGCUUCACUCAGACAGAAAAUGAAUGAUGAGCAUAAACUCGCCUGAGGUAAACACUAUUUCAAAAAAUAUAUAAGAAUAUACAGAGAAGAAUAUUAUCAUCCAGAUACAGUGGAUAUUACUAAGAUCAUUUGUGAUACGAUUUGUUGAAAUCUGUGAGAGUUGUUGAAAUAUGUUUUUGAUAUAUAUUUCACCCCAAACAUAUUUUGCAAUAAGCAGAGGCCAGUAGCCUACUUGUUCUGAAUAGCCCAUUCAGCACAAAUCACAAACACAAAAAGACUAUGAGUGAAAACACCCUUAGCCUUGUUAUUUACUCUCUUUAGCAUUGUUACUAUUUUCAAGGGUGGCAAUAAUUCUGAUGGGGACUGCAAUAGUACUCAAUAAAUAUAUGUAAUCAAGAAUGUAAUAUUGUACACCUCCUUUUUUCAGGCACAUGAACAUCACUGAACAGUGAACAGCAUGACGAUGUAUAUAAUUUAUUUUAGUGUUUCUUUUAUGUAAAUUAAAUUCAAUUAUAUGUAUUUUGAGCUUUAAUGUUGAGUUCUUUCUUUAUUUGUACUCCAUCUACCAGGAAUUUAAGUUCACAGCGUGCAUGAUUUUGGUUUCCUGCAAGAUAUUUUUCAUUAUUAAUCUGCACAAAAUGUUCUGCCGGAAUUUCCCUUACAUUAUAUUAGUAUAGAUAGUAUAUAAUCAUCCUAAACAGUGAACUAAUAAAAUUCUACAAGAAAUCCUGUAGAAUUAUAUGCAGCAAUCCUGCAAAUAAUUGUGAAUGAUUGUGACCUCCUGAUUCCUGCAGGACAUUUCCUGCAAGAAAAUUGUGAAGGAUUGUAACCUGGAAUCCUGCAGGACAUUUCCUGGAAGAAAAUGGUGAAGGAUUGUGACCUGGAAUUCUGCAGGACAUUUCCUGCAAGAAAAUUGUGAAGGAUUGUGACCUGGAAUCCUGCAGGACAUUUCCUGGAAGAAAAUGGUGAAGGAUUGUGGCCUGGAAUUCUGCAGGACAUUUCCUUCAAGAAAAUUGUGAAGGAUUGUGACCUGGAAUCCUGCAGGAAUCUGAAAGAUUCCCACAGGAUUAUGGUCCCCAAAUCCUGUAGGUUUUCCUGCAGGAAAUCGAGUCCUGCAUGAAGACCUACAGGAUUUUUGGGCCAUAAUCCUGCAGGAUUCUGAAUUUUUUUCCUGCAGGACUCCUGCAUGGGAUUUCCUGCAGCCCAUGCAGGACUCCUGCAUGGGAUUUCCUGCAGGAGUCCUGCAGGUUUUUUUUGUAAGGGAAGACACGCCCUCCGCCACACCACCUCACCCCCCCUCACUCUCCCAGUAAAUCACAUCUUUUAAAUUUGUGCAGUAGGCGGGGACAGGCCGAAAACUGGUGUUGAGCUACCCUUUAACAAUGUACUUGAUUAUCUGAUUGUCAGCUUGCUUGCUAGUCAUUGAUGUUAACAGAUAACUAAAAUAAUUGGUCUGUCAUAUUUGUUCCCUAUGGAUAAUGUAAUGUUACAGUGUCAUAAUGUCUUUUUCAGUUUCUAACAAAGAUCAGGAAACGAGAGAUCUCCGUGAGGGCGACCAGUUAUCGGUCCAUGAAAAAAAGCGAGAAGCCACACAAUCUGAGUGUAGGGUUAAGAGAGCAAUGAAAUUUAGCUAAGAGUUAACAUAACCUGUUCUGGUUAUUAAAAGUCACAUUUCAGGGAAUUAAUGCCGAUUUGCUCUGUCAAACAGAAUGCGGUAGGGGUAACGGGUAUCUAAAUGCCGAACGUUACAGUUCAUUUGAAUAGCUAUAUCAACUCUGGCACACAAAUUAACGUUGACCUAUCACUAAUAGAUAGGCAAUAAAGUUAGUACAUUAAGAAAACAUUCAGUUUUGACAGCUGGCGUGGUGUUCCCAGAAACUAGAUUUUUGUUCCGUUUUGUUCUCAUUUUCCUUUCUAUAUGUCUGGCGUGGAUACUAGGUUUCACAGAACAUCUGUGACUAAAAUCAUCAUCAUGACAUAAGUUUUACAUUUCACCCAUUACAUAUUUUCACAGGUUGUGUUAAAGGACAUUACUACACUGUCACUGUACCUAUGUGGCUGGUUCAGCACUGUGCAACCAUGUAGCUGCCCUGUUGUAUCAGACGGAACACUACUCGCAACUUAGGGUCAGUGUUGUUCCCCCAGUGCACAGCUGCACGGAGGCUGGGCAAAGUUGGCACAAGCCUAGAACCAUGGCUGUUAAUCCAGGACCCAUUAACCAGAUGGUUGUUCUGUCAGCUAGACCAAAGGAGAGAAAAAUGGCAGAAGGACUGAAGAGUAACCUAUACAAAGGUGUCAGUGGGGACCUGCUUGAUCUCAGAGUGUCUGAGGUGUACAACUCCUUCAGCAGUGAUGUGGCACCAUUGAUCACCACAAUGAGAAUAUCUAGUGAGGUCCCAUUAGUGGAUUCGAUCUUUGGUAAAGUCCAAGAAGGGAGUGUUCUGUCAUAUCAGCUACCUGCAGCAAGAUCACACAAGACAUCGCCUCAUACAAAUGCCCCUCCUAGACCACCUCUGCCACUGGAAGGCUACCACCUGGAUCCAGCAGGCUGUUCAUUUGUGUUGAGUGAACACCAACAACUCCACAUGAACUCCCUGGCAACACCACAUGAUAUGGCUCACAAAAUUAACAUGGCUACACCAGAGCAGAGCUCAUCUGGAGUGGCAUCGCUUACGAAAGCCACGGAUCACAUCAUCACGGUUCAGAGAAAUCUGCCGUGUCAGAGGGCAGACAUCUGAUGAAAAUCUGGCAGAAAGAAUUAUAAAAAGAAGUAUACAGACAGCAGACAUGAAGAUGGGUCUGGGGUUGGAGCCAAUUGCUGUGGAAGAGUACUGUCAGCAACAAGAGGUUAACCACUAUCCUUGUGGCUUCCUUGUACAUCCGGAUGCUCCAUGGAUGGGGUCAUCCCCAGAUGGACUAAUUUAUGACCCUGAAGCACAGCCAGUAUUUGGCCUACUGGAGAUUAAAUGCCCCAACGUCAGGAGUUAUGUGGACUGCCCCUACAUCAAGCUGCAGGAUGGCACACCAGCGUUGAAACUUACACAUGCAUACUACUGGCAGAUCCAGGGCCAGUUGUUGAUAUCAGAUUUGGAGUGGUGCGACUUUGUUGUGUACUCGCAGGAGGACAUGUUCAUCCAGCGAAUCCAGAGAGACAAUGCGGUUAUUAAAGAAAUUAGGGAGAAGGCAGACUAUUUAUUUUUUAUGUCUACCUAUCUUGAAUUUCAGUGUGUGUUGUCUUCGUAUUCUGUAUAUGUGUUCUGUGCCUUUGAGAAGCAGUCACUUACUGAUGAAGUGUGAUAAUUGGAAGAGGAGUUAUCUGUCUGCCAGCUUAUGCAGGGUGCUUAGGGGUGACAGAACACAGUGUUUUUACCACAAAACUGAUGUACAGAAUUGUAAUGAAAAUAUGAUAUAUUGACACUUGAAUGUUGCAGUUAAUAAGGCUAAGUUUUCAUGUUUUUGCCACCUACGCAUUUUCACUUGAAAAUUAAUGCAUUUGCAAAUUUGUUUCCAGCAUCAUUAUUAACAAUACUAAUGUCACUGUGACGUUUCAAUAAAAAAACUGAUUGGAUUUAC